rnacentral:rRNA from 1 species
AUUGAACGCUGGCGGCAUGCCUUACACAUGCAAGUCGAACGGCAGCACGGGAGCAAUCCUGGUGGCGAGUGGCGAACGGGUGAGUAAUAUAUCGGAACGUGCCCAGUCGUGGGGGAUAACGCAGCGAAAGCUGUGCUAAUACCGCAUACGAUCUCUGGAUGAAAGCGGGGGAUUCGCAAGGACCUCGCGCGAUUGGAGUGGCCGAUAUCAGAUUAGCUAGUUGGUGGGGUAAAGGCUCACCAAGGCGACGAUCUGUAGCGGGUCUUAGAGGAUGAUCCGCCACACUGGCACUGGAACACGGGCCAGACUCCUACGGGAGGCAGG